rnacentral:rRNA from 1 species
GACGAACGCUGGCGGCGUGCUUAACACAUGCAAGUCGAGCGGUAAGGCCCGUUUCGGGGGUACACGAGCGGCGAACGGGUGAGUAACACGUGGGUGACCUGCCCUCAGCUCUGGGAUAAGCCUGGGAAACUGGGUCUAAUACCGGAUAUGACUCCAUGACGCAUGUUGUGGGGUGGAAAGCCUUGUGCGGCUGAGGAUGGGCCCGCGGCCUAUCAGCUUGUUGGUGGGGUGANGGCCUACCAAGGCGACGACGGGUAGCCGGCCUGAGAGGGCGACCGGCCACACUGGGACUGAGACACGGCCCAGACUCCUACGGGAGGCAGCAGUGGGGAAUCUUGCGCAAUGGGACGAAAGCCUGACGCAGCGACGCCGCGUGAGGGAUGACGCCU